UGCAAGUCGAACGAGACCUUCGGGCUUAGUGGCGCACGGGUGCGUAACGCGUGGGAAUCUGCCCCUGGGUUCGGAAUAACAGUUAGAAACGACUGCUAAUACCGGAUGAUGACGAAAGUCCAAAGAUUUAUCGCCCAAGGAUGAGCCCGCGUAGGAUUAGGUAGUUGGUGAGGUAAAGGCUCACCAAGCCGAUGAUCCUUAGCUGGUCUGAGAGGAUGAUCAGCCACACUGGGACUGAGACACGGCCCAGACUCCUACGGGAGGCAGCAGUGGGGAAUAUUGGACAAUGGGCGAAAGCCUGAUCCAGCAAUGCCGCGUGAGUGAUGAAGGCCUUUGGGUUGUAAAGCUCUUUUACCCGGGAUGAUAAUGACAGUACCGGGAGAAUAAGCCCCGGCUAACUCCGUGCCAGCAGCCGCGGUAAU
rnacentral:rRNA from 1 species